rnacentral:rRNA from 1 species
UACGAACCGAGCGAACGUUGUUCGGAAUCACUGGGCUUAAAGGGCGCGUAGGCGGGUGCUCAAGUCCGGGGUGAAAUCCCACAGCUCAACUGUGGAACUGCCUCGGAUACUGGGCGUCUCGAGUGUGGUAGGGGUAUGCGGAACUAUCGGUGGAGCGGUGAAAUGCGUUGAUAUCGAUAGGAACUCCGGUGGCGAAGGCGGCAUACUGGACCGCCACUGACGCUGAUGCGCGAAAGCCAGGGGAGCAAACGGG